UCCCAGGAAUGAUGGAAUUCGGCUGCGAGCAGGUGGGGAGCGCCGCCCGCCCCCAUUGGCCCCGCGCGCCCUGACGUCAGCCCAAUUAGGGUAAUGAGGAGCUGACGUCACAUCCUCGCAGGAAAAACUACAGGCAAACAACACGAACUAAACUACACCUACAGGAAAACAACACCAAAAAAGUCUCUCUCAAGAGGAAAGCACUUUUUAAAAGCAGAAAUGCGCGUUUCGAAUUAAAGCACACUGCCACAGCAUCUGACAAAGCGGCUCGGCAGCCCCAGCCGCACUGAAACACGCACGAGUGACGAGGAGCAAGUGUUUCAGAGCCUGAUGGAACUGGCUCGGCUCGGCUGGAGGAUGGGGGUCACAUCCACGCCCCCCGCACGAUUUGACGGUAAUUGGUGUGAGCAGAUCCGGCACUUUGUUUCCUGUUUACUGCUCGCACUGCAGCGGGGUUUUACAGAAUCCCUGCUCCCGAUAUGACUCACUCGGCCCUCGGAGGAGCUGCCAGCAGCCAGGCGUGUGUGAGAGCAAAGCUGAGCCCUCGCCAUGGCCAGCGAACUGCUCCCCUCCCCUUCGUCUGCAGGGCAGGAGCUCCUCGGCACCGCUGCACAAAACCGGAGCGUCCAGGGCGAUCCCGUCCCCGCACACCGCGCUGCAGGGAGAGGAUCGCUCCUGCUCUCACCAUCCCGGCCCUCCGAGCACCGGCACAGCCCCGGCCAUUCCCAUGGCAGCGCUCAUUCCCAGUGUGCCAUUUCCAAGAUUCCGGCAAUUUAGGAGCCAGUCUGGCUGAAGCACUCUGCCUGUUUUCAGCAGUGUUAUCAAAUCAAGCUGUCGGGCAGCUUGUGCAUCGGGAAGAGCCGCUUCCCAGAAGCCAAGCCAAGGUUUCUCCAAGGCAUUGUGAAGAACCUGGGAAUGCUGUUUCCAGCAACAGGCUUGCAGAAAUUAAUUCCAGAGCAGGAGAAGAUAUGGGAAAGUGUUGUACUGACCAUCUGUCGUCACCAAACAGGUCCUAGAGUGCUGCAUUUUAUCCUCACAAGGAUCUGAGGUCGCCUCAGGCGGCUCUUGGAGCGCAUUGCAAAGGGAAAGACAGACAACAAAUCAACCUGAGCCCCACCAAGAGCCUUAGGGUUGCAGAUUUGUGGUGGAACCCAAAAAGAGCACAGGGCAGCAGAAAUAGAGAGGGUUUCCAUGGAAUUCUGCUCGCGGCAUUUCUCCUGUCCAGCUCCUCCUCCCUCAGUGUGACAAUAAAUGCACAAGUAUAGAAAAGGCACCACAAAUGUCUGUGUUUGCUCAAGGAAAAGAAGCACCCAGGCACAGCAGGGUUCAUUUUAGAUGCUGAAACUGGGAUUUCUGCAUGAAAUGGUGGAGGGAACACAGCUCCCAGACGGAGCCAGAGGUGCAGCCAAAGCAGCAGCCCAGCCAGGCAGUGUGGGAGGUGCAGGGCAGGGAGUGGCCGGGGAUGAACCCACACACCCUGCACUUGGAUUCCUUGAAAGAUCCAGAGCCCAUGAAGGCUCUGUGCUGCCCAGUUCCCAUUUAAAAGUCCAUCAAAAUCAUGCAAGAAUAGCUGACACUGAAGUAUUUUCAUAUCCUUGCAAGGACAGGUCAUGAGAUCUCCGGGCCACCAAAAGCUAGCCAAAAAGCACAUUCCAAACCUAAAUUAAACCCAGAUUUAGACUCCACACACUCAGUAUAUCUAAUAAGAACACUUCAGUUGAUAAAAAAAAUGAAAUGCAUGCAGUGUCGGAACAACCAUGAACCUCAUUUCAUCCAUGUGGCAAAGCCACCUAUGACACCUGUAACAAUAUAAGGUAAUAUUUAUAUAUUUUUUUAAAAUUGAUAUUGUAUUAAUAGACUAGUGGAGAUUAUUUUCAUUACCAGCAAGCAAGAGGAGUUUGAUGAUCUAAUAUUUGGGGAAAAAAGUAGUCAAAAUAGUAAUAUAAAACUUGUUUGAGAAAACAAGAUACUGGACAAGAAAAAUACCAUGAAAUAUGGAAAACAAAACCACAGGCACUGAGAAAAGAUCUGAACUAGACAUUGGUACAUAUCACAAGAAUUAAUUGCUGCAGACUAAUUACAAGGGUUUUUAAUAUGUAUCUCUGAGAAAAAAAGUCUGCCACUCCUGUUUAUAACUGCUGGAGGGAAGAGGUGGGAAGGAUUUCUUUGUUUAACCAGACAGAGCUCCUGGGAUGAGGAGGAGCUUGAGAAAGGAGAGGUCAAAACAGCUUUUGAUCCUUUGGAGCUGCUAUUACAGCUCCCAGCAGAAGUUUUAGAACAGGAUAUUUAUUAAACAUCUAAGGAGCCUGAGGAACAUCAGCUGGCUGGGAACAGCGACCCCGUGCAUUCCCCUGCAGACAGACUUCCCACUGCAGUGAGGUGUCAACAUCUGGAAAAACCAAAAAAAUGAAGUGCAAGUUGUCAAACAUUGGAAAUCUUGGAAAACAAACCUUAACACAGCAUUAGAAAGCCUUGUUGGAGCUGCUGAACUCAACACAUGCUGUUCACCGGGCAAAUUCACAGACGACAAAAGCAAACCCAGUCCUGGGUGAUGAGCUGCAUUUUGCUUUGCUCGGGUGUUGGGAUUUGUCUUCAUUUAGCACAAACUUUCUAACCCAAUGGCAUCAAAGGCUCUUUGCUGACUCAGAUACCAGCACAAACUUAUUCUGCUCAAACCCCAAAACUGACCAAGAUAGUUGAGGGUUUGUAGCUGAACUAAGACAAAAGUAGUGCUUCAGCACCCAGGCAAGGCACCCAAGGCAUGAUGCAAAUCCUGGGCCAGACUGCAGCUGCCAAUCCUGUUCCAAAUGGAUGUUAAUCACCAAAAAUUAAGCCCAUUCUCCACACAGUGUGGCCAGUGCAAGAGAAGGCUUAACCCCUGCGUGAGGGAGCGGGGACUGUGGCUGGCCAUGGAUCUCAGCUGCCUCAGGACAAUGUUUUAAGACUUUUUUUGAGGUUUUUUUUCAAUAUAGAGGCAGGAAAGGUCCUGAAACCAGAGGGGGGAAACCCAUAUUCUAGCAAAUGCAGUUGCAGUCUGCAGGGAGACCCUAUGGCCUAGUCCUACAGACCCUACUCAACCAUGAGUCCUGUAAUUAUUAUUGAAAUGAAGCCUGGCAUCUAUUCCAUGACCAACCCAGAAAAUAAAGCAUUUCCACUAUAAUAAGA